rnacentral:lncRNA from 1 species
AUGAUCCCACAGCUCCUCUGGAUUCGAUUGGCAAAAUCCUGGAGCCGGGAUCCCAAGGAAUGGGAACAUCCCAAGGGAACGGGAAUAUCCCAAGGAAUGGGAACAUCCCAAACAUGGGAGCAUCCCAAGGAAUGGGAUCAUCCCAGGGAAAUGGAGCCAAACCCAGAUUCCAGAGGGAAAAUCCCAACUAUUCCCUGUCAGGAUGAAAUAAACGGAAGUUCUCCGUGGCUGGAGGUUGGAAUGCCGGGAUAUUCCCGCUGGGAAUUCUCGGUGUCCUCUGGAAGGGCGGAUUCUGUGGCCGAUCCAUGGAUCCAUGGAAAAGCCGGAUCGAUCCGUGGCCGUGCCAGGAGGGAAUUGGAGCGCACGGAUCGAUUUCCCGGGAAUGCGGGAUGGGGCCUCCUCCGGGGGGCUCCUGAGAUGGGAUCCCGGGAAUUCCAAAUAUCCCCGAGGGGCUCCAGGAGAGCUGGAUUUGGGAUCACGGGACACAGGGAAUGGCUCCUGCUGCCGGGAGGAGGGGCUGGAUGGGAUUUUGGGAUUUUGGGAAGGAAUUCCCGGCUGGGCUGGAAUUCCCAGAGCAGCUGGAGCUGCCCCUGGAUCCCUGGAAUGUUCAAGGUGAGGCUUGGAGCAGUCUGGGAUGGAGCCAGAGAAUCCAUGGAAUGUGGGAGAGUUUGUUAUUCCCUAAAAUUCCUCUCCUUCCCUUCCCUAUUUUUCCCCAUUUUUCCCAUUUUCCCCUAUUUUUCCCCCCUUUUUCCCCCAAUUUUUUCCCCUUUUUGUCCCAAUUUUUCCCAUUUUUUCCCCAUUUCUCCCCAAUUUCCCCCCUAUUUUUUCCUCAUUUUUCCCCAAUUUUUUCCCCAUUUUUCCCCCAUUUUCCCCCAAUUUUUUCCCCCUUUUUCCCCCUUCCCUCAUCCCCAAAUUCUCCACAAAACCUUGGAAAAUCCCGGCUGGGCUCCCCAAUCCCUGUGGAAAUGGGGAACAGGGAUCGGGAUCCGUUGGAAUCCGGGAACGGGAAAAUUUCCCGGCUCCAAUUAA